UACGUAGGGGGCGAGCGUUGUCCGGAUUCAUUGGGCGUAAAGCGCGCGCAGGCGGCUCCGAGAGCCCGGCGUGAAAGCCCCCCGGCUCAACCGGGGGGAGGUCGUCGGGGGACCUCGGGGCUGGAGGCCGGGCAGGGGCGAGCGGAAUUCCCGGUGUAGUGGUGGAAUGCGUAGAGAUCGGGAGGAACACCAGUGGCGAAGGCGGCUCGCUGGGCCGGUCCUGACGCUCAGGCGCGAAAGCGUGGGGAGCGAUCGG
rnacentral:rRNA from 1 species